rnacentral:rRNA from 1 species
UGGGGAAUUUUCCGCAAUGGGAGAAAGCCUGACGGAGCAAUGCCGCGUGGAGGUGGAAGGCCUACGGGUCGUCAACUUCUUUUCUCGGAGAAGAAACAAUGACGGUAUCUGAGGAAUAAGCAUCGGCUAACUCUGUGCCAG